ACGUCGGUGGUGUAAAGGUUAGCACGGUUGCCUUCCAAGUUGUCGAUCCGAGUUCGAUUCCCGGCUGACGCC